AAGUCGAACGAGGAGUUCUUCUGUAGCAAUACAGAGGCGCUCCUAGUGGCGUACGGGUGAGUAACACGUGGGCAACCUGCCCUCGAGCUCGGGAUACCCUCUCGAAAGGGAGGCUAAUACCGGAUACGUUCCUCGGGUCGCGAGACCUGGGGAGGAAAGGUGGCGAAAGCUGCCGCUCUUGGAGGGGCUCGCGGCCUAUCAGCUAGUUGGUGAGGUCACGGCUCACCAAGGCGAUGACGGGUAGCUGGUCUGAGAGGACGACCAGCCACACGGGAACUGAGACACGGUCCCGACUCCUACGGGAGGCAGCAGUGGGGAAUUUUCCGCAAUGGGCGAAAGCCUGACGGAGUGACGCCGCGUGGGGGAUGAAGGCCUUCGGGUUGUAAACCCCUGUCAGAGGGAAAGAAGGAUCGGCGCGUGAAUAUCGCGUCGAUCUGACGGUACCUUCAGAGGAAGCCCCGGCCAACUCUGUGCCAGCAGCCGCGGUAAGACAGAGGGGGCAAGCGUUGCUCGGAAUCACUGGGCGUAAAGGGCGCGUAGGCGGGAUGGCAAGUCGGUCGUGAAAUCCCUGGGCUCAACUCAGGGGGGUCGGCCGAUACUGCCGUUCUUGAGGGAUGCAGAGGAGACUGGAAUUCCCGGUGUAGCGGUGAAAUGUGUAGAG
rnacentral:rRNA from 1 species